UGGGGAAUUUUGCACAAUGGACGAAAGUCUGAUGCAGCAAUGCCGCGUGAAGGAUGAAGGUCUUAGGAUUGUAAACUUCUGUUAAUUGGGAAGAAAGGUUAAUAGUUAAUAGCUAUUAAAUAUGACGUUACCAGUUUAGAAAGCUCCGGCUAACUUCGUGCCAGCAGCCGCGGUAAUACGAAGGGAGCGAGCGUUAUUCGGAAUGAUUGGGCGUAAAGGGCGCGUAGGCGGUGUAAUAAGUUUUUUGUUUAAUUUCUCGGCCUAACUGAGAACAUGCAAAGAAUACUGUUAUGCUAGAGUUUAAUAGAGGGAAGUGGAAUUCUCGGAGUAGCGGUUAAAUGCGUAGAUCUCGAGAGGAACGCCAAUGGCGAAGGCAGCUUCCUGG
rnacentral:rRNA from 1 species